UACGAAGGGGGCUAGCGUUGCUCGGAAUCACUGGGCGUAAAGGGUGCGUAGGCGGGUCUUUAAGUCAGGGGUGAAAUCCUGGAGCUCAACUCCAGAACUGCCUUUGAUACUGAAGAUCUUGAGUUCGGGAGAGGUGAGUGGAACUGCGAGUGUAGAGGUGAAAUUCGUAGAUAUUCGCAAGAACACCAGUGGCGAAGGCGGCUCACUGGCC
rnacentral:rRNA from 1 species